rnacentral:rRNA from 1 species
AGCUAACUUAGUGGCGGACGGGUGAGUAACACGUAGGUAACCAACCCUCAAGCGGGGGACAACUCUUCGAAAGGAGAGCUAAUACCGCAUAAGCUCACGGACUGGGAUGUUUGUGAGAAAAGGAGCAAUUCACUUGAGGAUGGGCCUGCGGCCUAUCAGGUAGUUGGUAAGGUAAUGGCUUACCAAGCCUAAGACGGGUAGCCGGACUGAGAGGUUGAACGGCCACACUGGAACUGAGACACGGUCCAGACUCCUACGGGAGGCAGCAGUGGGGAAUUUUGCGCAAUGGGGGAAACCCUGACGCAGCGACGCCGCGUGGAGGAUGAAGGUCUUCGGAUUGUAAACUCCUUUUGUCGGGGAAGAUAAUGACGGUACCCGAUGAAUAAGCCACGGCUAACUCUGUGCCAGCAGCCGCGGUAAGACAGAGGUGGCAAGCGUUGUUCGGAAUUACUGGGCUUAAAGGGCGCGUAGGCGGUGGAGUAAGUCUGAGGUGGAAGAUUAGGGCUUAACCCUAAAAUUGCCUUGGAAACUGCAUCACUUGAGUCAGCGAGGGGAUGGCGGAAUUCCAGGUGUAGCGGUGAAAUGCGUAGAUAUCUGGAGGAAGGCCGGUGGCGAAGGCGGCCAUCUGGCGCUGAACUGACGCUGAGGCGCGAAAGCGUGGGGAGCAAACAGGAUUAGAUACCCUGGUAGU